CUCGUCCUGACCUCCUGUACUUCGCUACACUUGUUUCAGCCGAGUCGUCUCGUCUCUACUGUUGACCAGAGCCAUCAAAAACUUCGCAUUGAAGUGACUUUUCACAUCACCUUCAAAAAAGCUAUAGUCUUUUUAAAGACUCUUCAUCCCUACCCUCCCAUCUAUACCCUCCAUCUCCACCUUCCCUUGUGGUGCGUAAGACUUUCUCCCAUCCGGUCUUUUAACGUGCUACAGACUUUUCAGAAAACAGACACGCUUCAGUCCUGCUUCAAGACAAAAACAGACAAACUCCAGGCUUGCCUCAAGACACAGCUGCCCUCAGUCCCUUGAGGUGGUGACGUCUAAGGCUCGUUCCAGACCAGCCUUCACCACCAGUGGGGUGUCUGUGUGCCACCUGUGGCACUGUGUCUGUCUGUCUGUCUGUCUGUACGCACGCACUCACCUGUACACGUCUACGUCUUUCCACCCUACAUGCUUACACACUAACAACACUACUUGACAUCACUGCUGACAACAGAACCCACUUACCUACAUACCUGCAUACAUAUUGGUGACAAGAAUCGUAACACUGUCUAAUUACAUACCUGCUGCACAUACCUUCUGCACAUACUUGGGCACAUAUUGUUUGUCUUGUCUCAUGUUUACGUCUUUACACCCUACACGCAUACACACUAACAACACUACUUGACAUCACUGCCGACAACAGAACCCACUUACCUACAUACCUGCAUUCAUAUUGGUGACAAGAAUCUUAACACUGUCUGGUUACAUACCUGGUGCACAUACCUUCUGCACAUACUUGGGCACAUACUGUUUGUCUCGUCUUUGCUGACAACAUUGCUGACCUCAUUGCUGACCUCAUUGCUGACAACAGAACCCACUUACCUACAUACCUGCAUUCAUAUUGGUGACAAGAAUCUUAACACUGUCUGGUUACAUACCUGCUGCACAUACCUGCUGGCACAUACCAACUGCACAUAACCAACUGCACAUACCUGAACCAAGCCAAUACUCUGAACCAAGCCUAUACCCUGAAUCAAACCAAUACUCUACCAUACUGAAUGUAUAUAUAUACAGCAUAUCUGUAAAUUAUAUGAAGUGUAUAUAUAUACAGCAUAUCUGUAAAUUAUAUCAAACAUUUAUACAUUUGAAUAAUCUAUUUUGUGAAAAUCAUCUGUGCUGUUAGCUCUGUGCCUUUAGACCUGAGCUGUCUUGCAAGACCUGCUGUGCUGUGUGAAGAUUUGGUAUUCCAUCCAAGUUCUGCAUAACCUUGAACCAGCUGCCUCCAUCAUCGAGUGUGACCUCUACAUAACCACUCCAGUGCUGCCUAUUCAGAAUUCCCACUAGUGCAUUGCUGAAAUUUAAGCAUCAGAUAAAGUGUUGAGCAUAAUUGUAUUGGUAUCAAAUUCUGAAAUACUAAAAUAAAGAAUAUUGUUUGAA